GUGGGGAAUUUUGGACAAUGGGCGAAAGCCUGAUCCAGCCAUGCCGCGUGCAGGAUGAAGGCCUUCGGGUUGUAAACUGCUUUUGUCAGGGAAGAAAUCUUCUGGGCUAAUACCCCGGGAGGAUGACGGUACCUGAAGAAUAAGCACCGGCUAACUACGUGCCAGCAGCCGCGGUAAUACGUAGGGUGCGAGCGUUAAUCGGAAUUACUGGGCGUAAAGCGUGCGCAGGCGGCUUUGCAAGACAGAUGUGAAAUCCCCGGGCUCAACCUGGGAACUGCAUUUGUGACUGCAAGGCUAGAGUACGGCAGAGGGGGAUGGAAUUCCGCGUGUAGCAGUGAAAUGCGUAGAUAUGCGGAGGAACACCAAUGGCGAAGGCAAUCCCCUGGGCCUGUACUGACGCUCAUGCACGAAAGCGUGGGGAGCAAACAGGAUUAGAUACCCUAGUAGUCC
rnacentral:rRNA from 1 species